CUCUAGAGUCUACAAAAGAGAAGACGAGCAGCAGUCUCAGGCAUCAAACUAGUCUAACGAUUGGAAUAGAACCAAACUCCCCUCGCUACUCUCUCUCUGCUUUUCUCUCUAUUCCAGUUGAAUUCAGACGAUCUCGAUCGUGCCUCACGUCGGCAAUCAUACCGACAAGGGGGCGGGGUGUCACAAUUUGUAUCAGAUUUCAGUCUCGAUCCGCGGGGCUAGGGUUCGUGCAAUUCCCAAUUCGCGAGGUCCUAGAGCUGCCAAUUUCAAUUCCAGUCACCUGUGGCAGUAGAUUGGGGGCUAGAACUCGAUCUACUUCUGAUUUUGCAACCGUGGGAGUUGAUUUGCUUGGAUUUAGGGAGGAAUUCGCCACGGGGCCCUCCAAGCCAUUAUCGCAGCCGCAGUUGGUGGAGUCUAUGGUUGAGGCUAUAGCAACCAUUGAGGAGCGACUGGCGGCAAUCACAGCGAACCUCAACGAUUCGCGCAGGUUGCUUGCUUCCUGUGCGUGGCGGUUGGGUGCCAAGGAGAUGGGAAAGAAGGCGGCUAGCACGUCAUCAUUUUCUAGGUCGACCUUGCCGUUGUUCGUGGGGACUCGUGCACCAGAGCAGUUAAUGACCAAGUCUUCCCCAUCCUUGACCCUCUCUGCAUAUCGGGUAGUGGCUGAUGGUGCCAUCUAUGCAGAUGCAGCCCUCACUACCACCACACCCACAAGGUGUUCGACAGUUGGCUCCGCUGUGAACGGCAGUGGCAACCAUGCCGUGGUCGCGUUCCCAACUAGUGGCACGAAGUAUCUUGUUGCUACGGCCUGUACAGAUGAUGGGAACAACAAGCUGCCAGGUGAAAGCGGGAUUGGCAUGAGCACGCGUGCAAGAUCUUCGACACAUGUCCUCGCCAAACCAUUGGAAGGUUCUACUGUAGGUGCUCACGCUGUCCGCACUGACCUGCUGCGGAACACCUCAUUCCCUCGUUUUGAUGGCACAAAUCCAGGCCUCUGGCGAGUUCAAUGUCUUGAGUACUUCAACCUCUUCAAUAUAAAUAGGUGCCUGUGGGUUAUCGCUGCCAGAAUGCAUAUGGAUGGUAAAGCCAAGGAGUGGUUUGAGGCAUACAAGUUGCGCCAAGUGGUUGGUGAUUGGUAUGAGUUCAUGGAUGCAGUAGAAGCACACUUUGGCUCUAGAGAUUUCCGUCAGGAGCUCCAUGUGGAAAUGCUUCCAUUUGAGAUAUCAGCUGCAGGUGCUACUCAUCUAGUGUUUGAUGGGAUUCAAAUCAGGUCAGUUAGCAUGGCGGGUGAGGCGAAUGGCGUCCACAUGAUGUCUCGAGACAAGCAUGAAUUGAUUUCUGAGAACCUAGUUGACAAUGUGCCACAUGAUACAUAUGAGCAGCAGAAGGUGAGAGAGGCAAGUUCAUGGGAUCAUCUCACAUAAUCUUGGGUUAAGGAGGACUCACAGGAGAACCUCACUAAUAUUGGAAGCUCAUCUCUAUUUCUGGAACAUGUGAUGGAUGCGACAGAUAUGGCGUGUGACACUCUGCUUCUAACUGAGGUUUGGAUGUCAGAUGGGGUGCUCACCCAUGUUGGUGGCAUAUCAAUUUUUCUGGAGCUUUGUGUAAAUACUGCUGCUGAAGCAUUUUCAAUGGAUAUGCUUCCGAUGGAUAUGACGUGGGACAUGGAAAUUUGUGAUCAUGCUCUCACUUAUGUUGGUGGCUUGUUGUUGUUUCUUGAUCUCACUAUUGAUCAUCAAGAGAUUGACAAAAUUGUCAACACCACUAAUUGCAUGGAUCAUAUGUUGGGUAAAAUUCCACUAUGGAGGUUAAGUGGCUUUAGUCCAGGAACAUGUGAGCAUCAACAUGAUUUGCACUGGGAACAUAUAGGCCCUUACGUCACUGAGGAACUCAUGCAGAAACAUUUUGUAAUUGCCAGGCUGUGGGAUCCAGGUAUAUCAACUGCACAAAUCAAUUUAUUUCACUCUGGAAUGCUUCCAAAGAAAGGUAAUUGCCUGGUGCUGCACGAGAUGCCGCAGAAGUGCAUUUGCUUGUCAGCACCAUAUAUACAAUAUACUCUACUAUGCUUGCUACUAGCUGCCAUGGAAGAAAAAACAGCUUGGACUGACCAAUGUGCAAAAACGCAGAACUUCUGUGAAAUACUUGUGGAGUGGGCUCGCUACAGCCUGGGUCAGCUCAUUCAUGAAGUUUUUGGCACCCUAGUAAGGCAGUCAAAACGUGACAUUACAAAGUUGUCCAUGAUUAGACUGAAAAAUCAGACUCAUGUCUUACUGAUUGAGAAAAAUAAAAAGUUCAAGCAGGCCAUCCACGGGAAUCUGCGACAGAUUGAUUGUGAAUGGAAAAAUACUGGACCAUCUACUAAAUCGUGGAGCCCAAGCUGCAAGCACUAUUUUGCUAUUACUCAGCUCUCUGAAAAUUUCAGUUUUUACUAUGAUGUUAAGCUGAUUCAGUCAAGAAAUUAUGUGCGGGUUUAGAACUUGUUACAAUUCCUUGCUUCUGGUGGUACAUGCUCAUUCGGCCGUUGCAACACCUUGUGUACUAUGCACCAAGGAGAUACAGCCUUGGCACGGAUCAGAAGAGAUGUUUUCAAAGGAAUCACAUCAGAUUGUACUGAAUAUGCCAUCAAAAUGACCCCUCGGUCUCAAGUUCUUGGAAUUCAGGAUGUUUACUCGAGGACAUCUCAAUUCGUAGUUGCAUUCCUUCUAUUCACAGGAAUACAGCUAUGGGUGCUCCAGAGUAUAUGUAACGGUCAGGAUUUGUGCUCACUGGACAUUUCGGCAAUCAGCCUUCAGCACAUGACCUGGGAUCCUGGAGUACAUUCAUCAGUUUGUGCAAGAGUAGUCAAGGUUACUCCAGCACGGGCGAGGGAUACAAGUGAUAAUGCUCCUUUCUUGUCAAGAUCACAUUGCAUAAUUUCGAGCUACAUCAUAUUGAGACUGCAGCAUGGGCACGCCAUUGCUUGGGGACAAGCAACGUUUUACCGGGGCGGUAGUGUAACACCCAUAAUAUGGCCAUGUGUUGGGCCAGGAGCACAUGGACUUUGAGCCACUGAAUAAGAGUUAGAGGCUUUGUCUGGAGUCUACAAAGGAGAAGACGAGCAGCAGUCUCAGGCAUCGAACUAGUCUGAAGAUUGGAAUAGAACCAAACUCCCCUCGCUACUCUCUCUCUCUGCUUUUCUCUCUGUUCCAGUUGAAUUCAGACGAUCUCGAUCGUGCCUCACGUCGGCAAUCAUACCGGCAAGGGGGCGGGGUGUGACACAUCCCUACGGUGGACACCACCCCGAGCCACCCAAUCUCGCACGGCAUUGGACGCCGGAUUGAUUUGCAAUCGGUCCUCUUUUCGUGAUGGAUGAUUUUCUUCUCCGGUUUUUUAUCCACCGUCGAAGUCUGGGCUGUUGUUCCCCGUCUGUUAUUUUUUUGCAACGCACUGGUUCUUUCCGCCCCGUCUCAGUUGGAAAUCGGCCUAAUUAAUUGAUCCUCAGGCCUCAGCCAUGGUCCCAUCCGUUGACUGUUUCAUAGAGGUGUCGCAGCUGUAACCUAAUUAAUCGUUGUAUCAUCUCACGAGGAGCUGAUUAGGGACUAUAUCUAGUCUCGUUCGGAUCGGAAGGAGUCAUGCUUGUUGUCAUGGACGGACUCUCUGCAUCCCUUACGGUCCGCUACCCGUUUGGUAACAAUUGAUUGAUAACGAUCCACGUCCAAGAAUACUGCCUCUUCUGAUCUAUAUAGAGCAUCCUUGGCAUCUAUCGGACUCCAAUUACAACCCCUCCAAAAGCCCUACCGCCGCCAACACCAACGCCGUUUCCAUGGCCCCCAGUCCCAGCCGCUCCGCCUCUUCCGAUGAGGACACUUCUUCCGGCAGCUCCGAGCAUGACGCCGUGGAGCAGCAGCCAGCACGUCCAGUGGAGGAGCAGAACACCGUCUUGGACGAGGACGACAACGAUAGCGACGGAGAAGAAUCCGGCGACGAGAAGGGGGAAAACGUGGCAGAGCCAAAGCUGCCACAGCCAGGAUCCAACGACGUGGUCCCGGAUUCGGAGUCAGAGGACGACGAAGUGCCUCGCAAAAAGUCUCCCAGCCCCUCCACCAAUGUGUCUUCCUCUGCGGAAGAUGAGGAUUCCUCCUCCUCAGGAGACGAGGAAGAAUCGGACGAGAAGGACGAGGAAGGUACGGAAUCCAACUGCGAGAAGGCACUGCCUCACAUGCCAGCACCAGCACCUGUUCCGAAGGAGAGUCUUCCGGUAGCUGCUGAUCCCACCGUGAAGCCCCAGAGAAAGCGCAAACCCUUCUGGACUCUCCAAUCACCGCAUCAAAAGAGGAUCCGGUCGGCUGAGGCUGCCCAGCACGCUCUGCUGCCUAGGAGCGAUGUGGACAAGCUUUUCAAGGAAAAGUGCGAUGUUUACUCGCUCCUUGGCCAGGAGGUGGUGGCACUAGAGGCAAAGUAUCCGUGCAUGAUGAAAGUUGCAUUUUUAAAUAUGGAAGAAGACAAGGCCAAAGAACUCGAUGCGAAACUCCACAAUCAACAGGUUGCCGAAAUGAGGGCUUACUUGCAAUGGGGUGAUAUCAAGGAGGAGGUGACCAAUACGAUCCUCAAUAUGCUUCAGUGAAGAAAUAACAGACCUGGAGCGAACAGAAAAUUUGGUGUCAAAUACACUAUCAUGCAACAGGAGGAAUAAAUUGAAAGCCGCACCCAUUAGAUUUUGGUUAUUUCUUUUCGAUUUUGUUGUGUAUCCAUAUAUACUCUAUGAAGUAUUGGUGCUAUCGCGGUUUAGUCUAG